CUUAACACAUGCAAGUCGAGCGGUAGCACAGGGGAGCUUGCUCCCUGGGUGACGAGCGGCGGACGGGUGAGUAAUGUCUGGGAAACUGCCUGAUGGAGGGGGAUAACUACUGGAAACGGUAGCUAAUACCGCAUAACGUCGCAAGACCAAAGAGGGGGACCUUCGGGCCUCUUGCCAUCAGAUGUGCCCAGAUGGGAUUAACUAGUAGGUGGGGUAAUGGCUCACCUAGGCGACGAUCCCUAGCUGGUCUGAGAGGAUGACCAGCCACACUGGAACUGAGACACGGUCCAGACUCCUACGGGAGGCAGCAGUGGGGAAUAUUGCACAAUGGGCGCAAGCCUGAUGCAGCCAUGCCGCGUGUGUGAAGAAGGCCUUCGGGUUGUAAAGCACUUUCAGCGAGGAGGAAGGUGGUGAACUUAAUACGUUCAUCAAUUGACGUUACUCGCAGAAGAAGCACCGGCUAACUCCGUGCCAGCAGCCGCGGUAAUACGGAGGGUGCAAGCGUUAAUCGGAAUUACUGGGCGUAAAGCGCACGCAGGCGGUUUGUUAAGUCAGGUGUGAAAUCCCCGGGCUCAACCUGGGAACUGCAUUUGAAACUGGCAAGCUAGAGUCUCGUAGAGGGGGGUAGAAUUCCAGGUGUAGCGGUGAAAUGCGUAGAGAUCUGGAGGAAUACCGGUGGCGAAGGCGGCCCCCUGGACGAGGACUGACGCUCAGGUGCGAAAGCGUGGGGAGCAAACAGGAUUAG
rnacentral:rRNA from 1 species